GGAUGUGGCUCAAUGGUAGAGCACUCACCUGUCAUGUGUAAGCCCUGGGUUCAAUUCCUAGCACCA
rnacentral:tRNA from 1 species